rnacentral:rRNA from 1 species
ACGCUGGCGGCAGGCCUAACACAUGCAAGUCGAGCGGUAGAGAGAAGCUUGCUUCUCUUGAGAGCGGCGGACGGGUGAGUAAUGCCUAGGAAUCUGCCUGGUAGUGGGGGAUAACGUUCGGAAACGGACGCUAAUACCGCAUACGUCCUACGGGAGAAAGCGGGGGACCUUCGGGCCUUGCGCUAUCAGAUGAGCCUAGGUCGGAUUAGCUAGUUGGUGGGGUAAUGGCUCACCAAGGCGACGAUCCGUAACUGGUCUGAGAGGAUGAUCAGUCACACUGGAACUGAGACACGGUCCAGACUCCUACGGGAGGCAGCAGUGGGGAAUAUUGGACAAUGGGCGAAAGCCUGAUCCAGCCAUGCCGCGUGUGUGAAGAAGGUCUUCGGAUUGUAAAGCACUUUAAGUUGGGAGGAAGGGUUGUAGAUUAAUACUCUGCAAUUUUGACGUUACCGACAGAAUAAGCACCGGCUAACUCUGUGCCAGCAGCCGCGGUAAUACAGAGGGUGCAAGCGUUAAUCGGAAUUACUGGGCGUAAAGCGCGCGUAGGUGGUUAGUUAAGUUGGAUGUGAAAUCCCCGGGCUCAACCUGGGAACUGCAUUCAAAACUGACUGACUAGAGUAUGGUAGAGGGUGGUGGAAUUUCCUGUGUAGCGGUGAAAUGCGUAGAUAUAGGAAGGAACACCAGUGGCGAAGGCGACCACCUGGACUGAUACUGACACUGAGGUGCGAAAGCGUGGGGAGCAAAC